GACACAAGACCCCACCUUCUCCUACUCUUUGGCUUGAUCUCCCCAUUUUUGUGUUCCAGGCCAGCCAGCAUUUUCUGCGUAUCCAAGCAUUGGGGGGACAAAGUAAUACUUGGCAUUAAUGGAGCUCACCCAUAAGGAAUGCCUAUUCCAAACUUCUUCGCUUAUGAAAAGGAGGAUCCGGGGGGGCAUAUCAUUCCCAACAUGCACUGCUUAUCUGAAAAGGCAAGGAACUGAGGAGCAGGAAGGCCAAGGAAACUGCGCAGGGUCACAGAGCUAGGAAACAGCAGAGCUGAGACUGGAGCCUCUGGCAGUGUGAGUGCGCUGGGUGGCUCUCAACCCCGACACCACGGUUGCCUACCACGCGCACUGCUAUUAACAGGCACAGCCAGAACCUGAAUUUAGAACUUCAACUCCAAGGCCAAAGCUCUUUUCACUAUCCCAUGGAGCAAGUUGGAUUUUACAAGAUAUUUUCAAAUUCCCUUUCAACAACCAGUACUGCCUUACAAGCAAAGUGCUACAUAAUCUUAACUGAGAGAGAAUAUAUUUGAAAACAUUCUCCAAAGAAAGAGAGAAAACAACUUUUAAAUGAUCAAAACUCAGUUGUGGGCUGAGAGAACUUUGCAAAAAGAAAUUGUCACUCAAGGAAAAAAAAAAAAAUCAUGCCUACCCUGGCCAAGUCAGCCAGAAAGAAUUUGAGAUUAAAACCGUUUCAAAAGACAAAAGUCUUACGAGUUCUGAGAGUUUAUAUCACAAGAAAACCACAAAUGCAAUUUUUGAUUAAGGAACAAGAGAUCUGAGAAUAUGACCUACUCAUAUCUGAGAUUCUGGUGUGUUGCAACAAAUGUUUAAGUGUUAAAUGCUUAUUAUUUGCCUAAUGAAGGAGAAAAGGUGUAUCUGCAGCAUACAUUGUGAAAGGCAAAGACAGCUCAUCAAAUGGGAAUCUUGUCUCAGUUGCAGCAGAGUUUUGGGGGUGUGGGCAGGUCAUUCAACACACGAACCUCCAACUGUUGCACUCCAACACCCACUGAUCGGUGAUAAAUGCCUCUGAAAACCUAAAACCUUCCACUUGUACAGAGCAUCACUGACAGAGACAUCAUUCUAUGUGACUCUAAAUCUCACUGGAACACAAAAACUGGAAAUACAACUCCAUGAAUGCCGCUGAUGGUGUUAUUUGUCCUGUGCUGUCAUUAUCAAUGUUGUGAAAGGUGGAUCCCAACUAGCACAUUAUGGGAGUAAUCACCAGCCAGCACGGAAGAGCCACAUUAUUCCUUGACAACUUCUAUGCUGAAAACGCUCAGAUCUACAUCUCAGAUGUGCCUUUCCUACCCUUCUCUGGACCUGCGUCUCCAACAGGUUAUGUCACUGUCUCCCCCCAUUAACCUGUUCCAAACCACUUUUCUCCUCUCCCCAAUCAUCUCUCCUUCCCAAACCUUUCGAUAAGAUAUCCCAGUUUCUUGUAGUUAUAUUGGAUCCUUUCCAAACAGCCAUGGAAAUAUGUUCUGUUUCUCACCCAAAUAUCUCCAUGUGACCCCUCCUGCCCUUUUAUACUCUUUCCUCCUAAAU